CAACUCUGGUUUCUCUUCAAUCACGCACAAGUUUUUCGCCUUUUACUAAAGACUUUCCGUGGAGAGCAACGCUUACGAGUUCAACGUAUUUUUGGACGGGCUUUGCUCCCGGCAGAGCC
rnacentral:snRNA from 1 species